rnacentral:rRNA from 1 species
AUUGAACGCUGGCGGCACGCUUUACACAUGCAAGUCGAACGGUAACAGGUUAAGCUGACGAGUGGCGAACGGGUGAGUAAUACAUCGGAACGUGCCUAGUAGUGGGGGAUAACUACUCGAAAGAGUGGCUAAUACCGCAUGAGAUCUACGGAUGAAAGAAGGGGAUCGCAAGACCUUGUGCUACUAGAGCGGCCGAUGGCAGAUUAGGUAGUUGGUGGGAUAAAAGCUUACCAAGCCGAGCAUCUGUAGCUGGUCUGAGAGGACGAUCAGCCACACUGGGACUGAGACACGGCCCAGACUCCUACGGGAGGCAGCAGUGGGGAAUUUUGGACAAUGGGCGAAAGCCUGAUCCAGCAAUGCCGCGUGCAGGAUGAAGGCCUUCGGGUUGUAAACUGCUUUUGUACGGAACGAAAAGCCCUGGGUUAAUACCCUGGGGUCAUGACGGUACCGUAAGAAUAAGCACCGGCUAACUACGUGCCAGCCGCCGCCGUAAGAC